rnacentral:rRNA from 1 species
UACGUAGGUGGCAAGCGUUGUCCGGAUUUACUGGGUGUAAAGGGCGUGCAGCCGGAGAGACAAGUCAGAUGUGAAAUCCACGGGCUCAACCCGUGAACUGCAUUUGAAACUGUUUCCCUUGAGUGUCGGAGAGAUAAUCGGAAUUCCUUGUGUAGCGGUGAAAUGCGUAGAUAUAAGGAAGAACACCAGUGGCGAAGGCGGAUUACUGGACGAUAACUGACGGUGAGGCGCGAAAGCGUGGGGAGCAAACAGG